rnacentral:rRNA from 1 species
UACGUAGGGUGCGAGCGUUAAUCGGAAUUACUGGGCGUAAAGCGUGCGCAGGUGGUUUUGUAAGCCAGAUGUGAAAGCCCCGGGCUUAACCUGGGAAUGGCAUUUGGGACUGCAAGGCUUGAGUGCGGCAGAGGAGACUGGAAUUCCUGGUGUAGCAGUGAAAUGCGUAGAUAUCAGGAGGAAUACCGAUGGCGAAGGCAGGUCUCUGGGCUGACACUGACGCUCAUGCACGAAAGCGUGGGGAGCAAACAGG